GAUGAACGCUGGUGGCGUGCCUAACACAUGCAAGUCGAGCGAUUCUCUUCGGAGAGGAGCGGCGGACGGGUGAGUAACGCGUGGGUAACCUGCCCUGUACACACGGAUAACAUACCGAAAGGUAUGCUAAUACGAGAUAACAUGCUUUUAUCGCAUGGUAGAAGUAUCAAAGCUUUUGCGGUACAGGAUGGACCCGCGUCUGAUUAGCUAGUUGGUGAGGUAACGGCUCACCAAGGCGACGAUCAGUAGCCGACCUGAGAGGGUGAUCGGCCACAUUGGAACUGAGACACGGUCCAAACUCCUACGGGAGGCAGCAGUGGGGAAUAUUGCACAAUGGGCGAAAGCCUGAUGCAGCAACGCCGCGUGAGCGAUGAAGGCCUUCGGGUCGUAAAGCUCUGUCCUCAAGGAAGAUAAUGACGGUACUUGAGGAGGAAGCCCCGGCUAACUACGUG
rnacentral:rRNA from 1 species